rnacentral:rRNA from 1 species
UGCCAGACUCCUACGGGAGGCAGCAGUGGGGAAUAUUGCACAAUGGGGGGAACCCUGAUGCAGCGACGCCGCGUGGGUGAAGGAGUACUUCGGUACGUAAAGCCCUAUCAGCAGGAAAGAAAAUGACGGUACCUGACUAAGAAGCCCCGGCUAACUACGUGCCAGCAGCCGCGGUAAUACGUAGGGGGCAAGCGUUAUCCGGAUUUACUGGGUGUAAAGGGCGUGUAGGCGGGAAAGCAAGUCAGAUGUGAAAACCAUGGGCUCAACCUGUGGCCUGCAUUUGAAACUGUUUUUCUUGAGUACUGGAGAGGCAGACGGAAUUCCUAGUGUAGCGGUGAAAUGCGUAGAUAUUAGGAGGAACACCAGUGGCGAAGGCGGCCUACUGGACGGUGACUGACGCUGAGGCUCGAAAGCGUGGGGAGCAAACAGGAUUAGAUACCCCUGUA